rnacentral:lncRNA from 1 species
CAGGAAGGAGAGGCAGGUUGAGAAAGAGGGAAUGAGUGGCACCAGGGCCCCGCCCCCACUGACUCACCGGAAGGGAAUGGAAACAGGGCGUGGGCUGAAGCUGCCAGGGCCCAGUCUCGCCCUCUUAGGGCCUCACCUGGCUCAGAGGGUUUCAGGAGACCACACUGUUGUCUUCAGCUGAAUGUGAAAUGCAUCCCAAACUCAGAGAAAUGGCUGUAUAAACAGAGACCGGGGGAGAGAGAGAGCCGAGAGCACAGGAACCAAGGGAGACGAGACGAGAGCUGCAGUGUCUAGAUGGUAGGGUGCGUGGGAGUUCUCUGCAUAAUUCUCACAGCCGCUCUGGGUGUUUGCAAGGGGCCAUCAUAGAAUGUUGG